UCUUCGUUUUCUUCUCCAACAAGGCAUUUGUGCUGUCUCGACCACAAGGAACCUCGCUUACAACAGUUUCACGGCUUCUGCAAUCUCAGCUGAGCUAAGCUUGAUAAACUGUUCAUGGGGCUAGCUAGAAAGACCCAACCCUUCACUUUUAAGCCAAACUCCAACAAAGCUUCUUCAGCUAACUUUCUAAGAUGUAAUGUAAGCUAAAUAAAUAGUAAAUACUAAUGCAGAAUUCCAAACUUUAGGGAUUCCAGCAGAAAAUCUGUUCAUAGUUAUCGACAGUGAUCCCCUCUCCGAGGAGCGGUGGUUACCGAAGCUUCUCCAACUUUCUAUCUUUGCCCCCUUUGUUUACUAAGCUCUUUAAAGUUCAAUUAUACAGUUUCAGGGGUGUUAUCCAAGUCUCAGCCUCCCUUGUGGAGCAUUUUAUCAAAGGCAAGUAUGCGUCAUUCGCUCGUGCCGUUUAUGACCAAUCACUGGUUGAGGAUUUCGCGGAGUACGCCUCCAUGGACGAAUCCAAUAUGGCUUCAACAGAAUUUUCAAACUUUGCAAGCUUCUUCAAGUCUAGCACAUCUUUGGAAAACUCAUGGAGCUUUUAUCCUAUGUCCCUUUGUGUAAUCUCAAUUUCAGUUUGUAUGAACCCUCCUCCUUUAAGGUUUUAGUUUAAUGCAAGGUUGUUUGACAACAAAAAAAGUUAUCGACCAUGGAAUCCGUAAUACUUGCUCCUUCGUAGGUAUCUGU